CCAGCAGCCGCGGUAACUCCAGCUCCAAUAGCGUAUAUUAAAGUUGCUGCAGUUAAAAAGCUCGUAGUUGGAUCUCGGUAUUAUUGUUGCCUGCUGGCUUUAGAGGCACUAGCUGGCCUAGCGGUGCAUGGGUGAGCCUGUGCAGCGUGGGGUCGGCGGCCUUGGGUCGGCGUGGCGGCGGUGAUACCUUUCAGCCAUGUCUGUGGUGCAAUAUCCACAGGUGUAGGCGAGUGCCAGGCGGUGCCCUGCAACUGUGGGGUUCGUCGGCUUGUCUGCAUGCCUACGGAUGCCCUUUAAAAGGUGUCUGUGGGCGGAUGGCACGUUUACUUUGAACAAAUUUGAGUGCUCAAACCAGGCCGAUGCUGCCUGAAAAGUUUUGCAUGGAAUAAUGGAAUAGGACUUCGGUUCUAUUUCGUUGGUUUUCGGAUCCGAAGUAAUGAUCAAAAGAGCAGGACGGGGG
rnacentral:rRNA from 1 species